GGCAAAAGCUCAAAUUUGAAAUCCCCCGGGAAUUGUAAUUUGAAGAGAUUUGGGUCCGGCCGGCGGGGGUUAAGUCCACUGGAAAGUGGCGCCACAGAGGGUGACAGCCCCGUGAACCCCUUCAACGCCCUCAUCCCAGAUCUCCAAGAGUCGAGUUGUUUGGGAAUGCAGCUCUAAGUGGGUGGUAAAUUCCAUCUAAAGCUAAAUACCGGCGAGAGACCGAUAGCGAACAAGUACAGUGAUGGAAAGAUGAAAAGCACUUUGAAAAGAGAGUGAAAAAGUACGUGAAAUUGUUGAAAGGGAAGGGCUUGCAAGCAGACACUUAACUGGGCCAGCAUCGGGGCGGCGGGAAACAAAACCACCGGGGAAUGUACCUUUCGAGGAUUAUAACCCCGGUCUUUAUUUCCUUGUUGCCCCGAGGCCUGCAAUCUAAGGAUGCUGGCGUAAUGGUUGCAAGUCGCCCGUCUU
rnacentral:rRNA from 1 species